UACAGAGGGUGCGAGCGUUAAUCGGAAUUACUGGGCGUAAAGCGCACGUAGGUGGCGACGUAAGUCGGGUGUGAAAGCCCCGGGCUCAACCUGGGAAUUGCAUUCGAGACUGCAUUGCUGGAGUACGGAAGAGGAGGGCGGAAUUCCCGGUGUAGCGGUGAAAUGCGUAGAUAUCUGGAGGAACACCGGUGGCGAAGGCGGCAUCCUGGACCGGUAUUGACGCUGAGGCGCGAAAGCCAGGGGAGCAAACGGG
rnacentral:rRNA from 1 species